CGUAACCCCAAAACAAACUGCGCAUGCGUAUGGGGCAAGGGCUAAAUCGGCGGAAACGCGUGGGAAGACAGGCGACACACCAAACGCUCGCAGGGGCCCGCGGAGGAGGAGGUAACAGAGCUCCUCCCAGACAGAGCAUCUUCAAGCCCUGGCCUCCAUGGUGCCUGACAUGUGGAGCACCCUUCCCCACCUUCAGGUUGAGGUUUCAGAACAUUUCAUCUCCAGCCCAUCUGUGAAGAUGGCCUUGCCUGGUCCCUCUCGUCACAGAAUAAACAGCCUCCUCCAUAUGAUGGCUCGGGACCGACUUCUGCUCGGGCAUCUUCUGCAGGUGAUAAAUCCCGACCAGAUUAACGAGUCAUGAAAAUUCUGAGGCACACGAGGACACCAGGGCUCCCCUGGGCAGCAAGAAUCUGCCGGGGGUUCCGGGAAAGCUUUUGUUCUUCUGGGAAAAGGAACAGCAAAGUCUGGUGCCACCUCCGUCUCCUGCUUCCCGUCUUGACUGAGUGAGAUUCCUGGACAACUGGAGCCAUCCGCUGACCAUGAGCAGAAGCCAAUACCUGGAGUGAUUGGAGGAGAAAGGCACGGAACCCCGGUAUCCAAGGCAAUGUCAAGUCCUUGCCCUCACCUAAGCUGCUUCUUCUCCAGGAUAGGAAGUUCGCUUUUCUCAGGUCUCACCACAGCUCCUAGAACAGUGCCUGGUGCGUGGUCAGCUCUCAGUAGUUUUUUGUGGAUCGAGGGAAUGUCUUUACCCCUUAGGGCACUGUUAGUUGGGCGAUGGGUUCCUUACAAUCAGAUUCCUAACCGAUUUCACUCCAUACCUACAAAAAUUCGUAACAGUGUAGGCCAAAAUUAUAAAUGGAGGAAGGUGGGUGGACCCACAAAUUCAGGUGCCACCCUGAAAUUUGAAAAGAGAUGCUGUGAGAAGCCACCUGGGCCCGGACCCUCUCGGCCUUUCUGGGCUUAAAGCAGGGACCACCCGCCCCUCUCCCUACAACUUGCGCUUGCGCCCCCCUUGUUCCCCAAGGGAAGGGCAGGAUGGCUCACUGUUGAUGAGUUAAUGUUUCUCGGUGUUAGCCAUCACCUUCUGGCCCUGAUUCCCAGAGCUGAGGAGGCACCCGUGACCCAGGUCUUCCCAGGUAGGAGAGGUCAAAACCCCACCAAACAUGGAGGGGAGGGGACCAGCUUUUCUCAGGUUCCCACUACAGGCCUGGAACCUAACUUGGCAAGACCCCUUUCAGCCUCCCUAUUUUUAUAUCCAACUAAUACCAGAUUUUAGGUUUCUCAGCUCCCUCUCCUGUGCUCCCAAUUUUCUUGCCAUGCUGCUAUCAACGUCUUACCCCCCAUUCUCUGAAACGUCACCUAAUGUCUUCUGCUCUUUCCUUCAAAAUCCAACUCAAAACUCCUUUUCUCUAGGAAGUAUUUCUGCUUUAUGCUCCCAACCCCAUCAUCCAUAGUCUGUGCCUCACGCUGCUAAGCACGCACUUGAGUGUGGAUUAAUAAAUGUCUCGAAUCUUCAUGCUUGCCCAUGUGCAACCUCCUUGCCCAUACUAAGCUCCCAAGGGCAGUGCCUGCAUAUCUCUCAUAAUGAGCGUCCAUGGUUUGGUACAUAGUGGAGACUUAAAAAUCCCGCUGUUUCAAUUAUCUAUUGCUGUAUAAUACACAAAAUUUAAUGGCUGAAGACAACCAUGUGAUUAUCUCUCAUGAGACUGGAAGGUGAUUGGGAUCCGCUGGGCAGUUCUUCCGUUGUACAUGGUAUCGCCUGGGACCGCAGCCGUGUGGGGUUGGACUGGGCUGGAGCGUCCAGGAUGGCUCACUCACAUGGCUGGUGCCUUACAGGCAUGGCUGGAAGGCUGGGCUCUGGGGGACACAGGGAUCGUUGCACUUCUCUCUCUCUCUCUCUCUCUCUCCACAUAUUCUAAGAGUUUCUUCUUUUCCACGUGUUCUCUCAAUAUGCUCUCUCCAGCACAGAGAGACCAAAUUUCUUACAUAUUGGCUCCACAUCCCCCAAAAGCACAAAAUUGUUAGUUUCUAGGGCUUCUUAAGCCUUAGGCUCAGAACUGUCUCAGUGCCCACCACAUUUUACGGGUUAAAGCAAAUCACAGACCAGCCCAGAUCAGAUAUGGAAGGAGGUCACACAGAGUGAGACCGGAACCAGUUCAUAGGGGGACAUCUCUGCUACCCACCACCCCCUGACUGAAUGCCCAGGAGUAUUUUAUAGAGUCAGGGGUCUGGUUUUCUAAAGUGCCAAGAUUUCCACAAAGACUCAGUUCUUCCUUGUUUUC